AAGGAGAGAGCAAAAGUGGGGGAGAGAGAAAGAGAAAGUGGUGGAGAGAGAAAGUGGGGGAGAGAGAAAGAGAAAGUGGUGGAGAGAGAAAGAGAAAGUGGUGGAGAGAGAGAAAGAGGUGGAGAGAGAGAAAGUGGUGGAGAGAGAAAGAGAAAGUGGUGGAGAGAGAAAGAGAAAGUGGUGGAGAGAGAAAGUGGCGGAGAGAGAAAGAGAAAGUGGUGGAGAGAGAAAGAGAAAGUGGUGGAGAGAGAAAGUGAAAGUGGCAGAGAGAGAAAGAGAAAGUGGUGGAGAGAGAAAGAGAAAGUGGUGGAGAGAGAAAGAGAAAGUGGUGGAGAGAGAAAGAGAAAGUGGUGGAGAGAGAAAGUGAAAGUGGUGGAGAGAGAAAGAGAAAGUGGUGGAGAGAGAAAGAGAAAGUGGUGGAGAGAGAAAGUGGUGGAGAGAGAAAGUGGGGGAGAGAGAAAGUGGGGGAGAGAGAAAGUGGGGGAGAGAGAAAGUGGGGGAGAGAGAAAGUGGGGGAGAGAGAAAGUGGGGGAGAGAGAAAGUGGUGGAGAGAGAAAGUGGUGGAGAGAGAAAGUGGUGGAGAGAGAAAGUGGUGGAGAGAGAAAGUGGUGGAGAGAGAAAGUGGUGGAGAGAGAAAGUGGUGGAGAGAGAAAGUGGUGGAGAGAGAAAGAGAAAGUAGGGUUAGAGAUAGUCAAACAUGUUAAGUGUAUGACUGUACCACCAGUUUGUGUAUCAACAAUCAGAGCACAGAACAUUAAGAACACCUUCCUAACACUGAGUUGUUGCUCUCAGAACAGCAUAAAUUCAUCACUGUGCUUCCCACAGUUGUGUCAAGUUGACUGGAUGUCCUUUGGGUGGUGGACC